AUCCUCCUUCUCCCGACCUCGAGGUGCGUCGCCGCCGCCAGAAAGAGUAUCUCCGGCAGUUUCCCUCCUGGAUCCCCCUCCGCCACGAGGAGCCAUAGUAUGCCUGUCGCUACUUUCUGCCUUGCCCCACGAUCCUCGCCUCACAGCGGCUUCUUCAUCCCACCACAUGCGCUUCGGUCAUCGAUGUCUUUGGCUCUGAACAAAACGUCUGAACUGCUCUUGAUGACUCUUGCCGCAGACUCCCCGUGCCAUGGCGCUCCUAUUCUAGUUAUAGGCUCUACCUGGACAUGAUUGCCCUCCAUACCGUCACCUCCCUAUUUUGUAGUUUCAUAUGUCAAGAAUCAGACUUUUGGCCCUGCAGCAUGUUGUGAUGCAUCAAUGGCUAAGAAUCAAAUAUAAAUUAAUGUAGUUCAGAUAUUUCUCAUCAUCAGGUCUUUAUAGUUUAUUUAGUUGAUUUUAUGCUAUUUUAUGAAGCUUUACAUUUUCUCAUAGUCACUGUUUAUUCAUAGUAUACUGUAGAGUCUUAUAUAUAAGUUCUGCUCUUACCCUCUUUGGUCACCUGAUUGUAGUUGCAGUGAGUUCACUAUAACAAUUUUGAUUCUUCCACUAGUGAUUUCUCUUGAAUCGCUACAUCUUUGACAUAGCUGGGGAGCUAUAGACUACAGCGCUGGUGCAGUAUGUUCACUUGUGGUACGUUGUCCAUUCAGUGCAGCUGAAUCCCAACGCUGACUAUGAGAGGCAGCUGAAUCCCAACGCUGACUAUGAGACUAUCUGGAAGUGCAGAUCGGGAUGCUACACUACUGCUUCAACAAAUUGUAUGCUCGUUUCCAAAGGCUUGAAUCUAAUAUAUCUCGAGUUCUCAAUCUACAUGCAUUUGUUCAUCAUCUCUUCCUGCUUAUAUAUACACGGGGAAAGGAGGAAUGGAGAGCUAUAAUGUUGUUUUGCUAACAUAUUUACAUGCAUUUUAGUGUAAAUUUAAUAGUUGUAGUAGUCGACCAGGCAAAUAACAAAUUAUUGGUAUGACCCAAUUCAGUUACUCUUUACAGAAAUUGUUUUACACUUGCAUGAAAAAACAGCAUACCAUUCAGAUUAAAAUAACAUCCUUUUCAUAUGAUGCACGUUAUUGCAAAGAAAAAGACCAAUACAUAUGUAAUGGAGAUGACUUCCAUACAUCACUCUCUCACUGGACAGUCUAUUUUUUUCUUUCUGAUUUAUGUGAUAAAAAGGAGACAAACAGUUUAAAUAUGGAAGUUAAAGCUUUAUUUUAUUUUUAUCCUUGGACAAUUAUGGCUUCAUUUUGUAAUUCCUACAACUUAUUUUUUAAGUUCUCUGGAUGUUUUAUUAUAUCCAGCAUAAUUGAGUAUUCCCAUUUUGUGGAAACCAAAACUGAAGUGUCAACUUUGCACGAAUGAAAAAUAAAAUAGAUACAAUAUGUAUUAUUGUUUGGAACUUUCAAUGUACUUUAGUUAAAUUUACUUCACAUGUAGUUAGCAGUUCUGUAUUCACUUUGAUCAGAAUAGAUACUAUUUUAUUUAACUUCGUCGUCACUACACCCAUGCUCUCGCGGCCUAGGGAAAACCCUAUUUGUGUUGUUGCCAUGGCUGUUGAGGACGAUUAUGGAGGAGGUGAGGGCGAGAAGAAAUUACAAGAGGAAGGGCGAGGACCAGGUAGCAACGUGGUCCCACUGCUACUUGCAAGGGAUGUAGCUUUCUGAAGUCGGUGAAAAGAAGGGAAGUCUUUUUCUCCCUAGGAGUCAUUCUGAUUAAUGGAUGGAUGGAUUUGUCCGCUCUCUGCAUGACCACAAAUGCAGGCUUGCUAAAUCUUCUUCUUUAUAUAUGAUGAUGUUGACAAUGAGAAAUAAUCUAGUUUAAAAAUAAGCAACAUAUUCUUCUGAUGUGGAUA